AGAGUUUGAUCCUGGCUCAGGAUGAACGCUGGCGGCGUGCUUAACACAUGCAAGUCGAACGAACCUUCGGGUUAGUGGCGGACGGGUGAGUAACGCGUGGGAAUCUGCCCUCAGGAGGGGGAUAACGGUUGGAAACGACCGCUAAUACCCCAUAUGCCGAGAGGUGAAAUGAAUUUCGCCUGAGGAUGAGCCCGCGUCUGAUUAGCUUGUUGGUGAGGUAAUGGCUCACCAAGGCUUCGAUCAGUAGCUGGUCUGAGAGGAUGAUCAGCCACACUGGGACUGAGACACGGCCCAGACUCCUACGGGAGGCAGCAGUGGGGAAUUUUCCGCAAUGGGCGAAAGCCUGACGGAGCAACGCCGCGUGAGGGAUGAAGGCCUCUGGGCUGUAAACCUCUUUUCUCAAGGAAGAAGAUAUGACGGUACUUGAGGAAUAAGCCACGGCUAAUUCCGUGCCAGCAGCCGCGGUAAUACGGGAGUGGCAAGCGUUAUCCGGAAUUAUUGGGCGUAAAGCGUCCGCAGGCGGCCUUUCAAGUCUGCUGUUAAAUAGUGGAGCUUAACUCCAUCACUGCAGUGGAAACUGUUGGGCUUGAGUGUGGUAGGGGCAGAGGGAAUUCCCGGUGUAGCGGUGAAAUGCGUAGAUAUCGGGAAGAACACCAGUGGCGAAGGCGCUCUGCUGGGCCAUAACUGACGCUCAUGGACGAAAGCCAGGGGAGCGAAAGGGAUUAGAUACCCCUGUAGUCCUGGCCGUAAACGAUGAACACUAGGUGUCGGGGGAAUCGACCCCUUCGGUGUCGUAGCCAACGCGUUAAGUGUUCCGCCUGGGGAGUACGCACGCAAGUGUGAAACUCAAAGGAAUUGACGGGGGCCCGCACAAGCGGUGGAGUAUGUGGUUUAAUUCGAUGCAACGCGAAGAACCUUACCAGGGUUUGACAUCCUGCGAACCUCUUAGAAAUUUGAGGGUGCCUUCGGGAACGCAGUGACAGGUGGUGCAUGGCUGUCGUCAGCUCGUGUCGUGAGAUGUUGGGUUAAGUCCCGCAACGAGCGCAACCCACGUUUUUAGUUGCCAGCAUUUAGUUGGGCACUCUAGAAAGACCGCCGGUGAUAAACCGGAGGAAGGUGUGGAUGACGUCAAGUCAUCAUGCCCCUUACAUCCUGGGCUACACACGUACUACAAUGCUGCGGACAAAGGGCAGCAAGCUCGCGAGAGCAAGCAAAUCCCAUAAACCGUGGCUCAGUUCAGAUCGUAGGCUGCAACUCGCCUACGUGAAGUAGGAAUCGCUAGUAAUCGCAGGUCAGCAUACUGCGGUGAAUACGUUCCCGGGCCUUGUACACACCGCCCGUCACACCAUGGAAGUUGGCCACGCCCGAAGUCGUUACUCCAACCCUUGUGGAGGAGGACGCCGAAGGUGGGGCUGAUGACUGGGGUGAAGUCGUAACAAGGUAGCCGUACCGGAAGGUGCGGCUG
rnacentral:rRNA from 1 species